CUCCUCCUACUGCUUCAGGUGGACGAGGACGAGCCCUCCAUCAUCGCUGCUGCGGCUGCCUACUCCCUCCUCCUACCUCCUGGCCUGGUGUGAGUGGUGGAGUUAAUGAGCCGGGAUGAAGUUCGAGAAGUUGCAUUACACCGUGUAAAUAUUAAUGAGCUGUGGAAGACAAGUGCACCGGGAUUUCUGGAGGUAACAUGCCUCUGAUUGUAUGCACUGAAUUUCAGAUGCUAUCUUGCGUACGACUGAGCAGUCUCGGAUAUACUUCAACCCAGACAUCAACGCAACAAAUAACUUGAUUAUAAGGUACAAUCAUGAUUACCAAUGCCUAGCUAUUUUUUGAUUUUGACUAACACAAAGGGUAUAAUGUGUAGUUUCAGGGAGCCGUGUAGUUUCAUGGAGCCCCGUCGCUCUCUCAUAGAAUUUGUUCAGAUAUAAAUUUGCCUAUUACCAACAAUACAUGAUAUUAUAAUUAUAAUAUUGCAGGAACAAAUGUCAUGUGAAGCAAAUAAUUUCCUUAGAAAAAAGUAAGCUCCGUUUGCACUAUUAAUUAGCUUCCUGAGUUAUUUUGCUUGACAAGAGAAAUGGACUUGUUUUUUCUAUAGCCUAAUUGAACAGUAAGAGUCUCUCCUACUUUCACUGCUAAGAAAACAAAUAAACCUACAUACGGACAUGCAUCUCAAUCUCUUGUUUCGAAGUUAAACUGUUUGUAGAUACUUUUUGAUGUACCUUUCGAACCCAUAAACUUAAUGUUGUGCUUGUAGUGUUGGUUCUGGGUUUAGAAUCAAUUUAAUAUGUGGAUUGAUGUCCAACCAACCAAAAACCAGAAUUUCUUCUUUGAUAUUCUGCUGGUUUAGAAAAUGUACAUUCUGGUUGGGGAUUUCCAUCGAGAGUGAAUGUAUAAUCCAGCCAACCAACCCAAGAUGUGUUUACCAGCACCAUCACGAUGAUCUUUCUCAGCCUUCUCGGCCCAAUCAGUCUUCUAAUAUUCAUCUCAUGGUAGGCAUGCUCUGCAAAAAUGCAGCAACGGCAUUUUUU